rnacentral:rRNA from 1 species
UGGGUUAGUCCGCACGAGCGCACCCUUACUUUUAAUUGCUACCAUUCAGUUGGGCACUCUAAAAGAACUGCCAGUGAUAAGCUGGAGGAAGGUGGGGAUGACGUCAAGUCCUCAUGGCCCUUACGUGUUGGGCUACACACGUGCUACAAUGGUACUUACAGUGAGAUGCGAAGAGGCAACUCCAAGCAAAUCCCUAAAAAGUACCUCAGUUCGGAUUGUACUCUGCAACUCGAGUGCAUGAAGCUGGAAUUGCUAGUAAUCGCGGAUCAGCGCGCCGCGGUGAAUACGUUCCCGGGUCUUGUACACACCGCCCGUCACACCAUGGAAGUUGGUUACACCUUAAGGCAAAGCAUAAAACCUUUGACUACGGUACGAUCAGCGACUGGGGUGAAGUCGUAACAAGGUAGCCGUAGGGGAACCUGCGGCUGGAUCACCUCCUUUCU